UUCAGAGCUAAAGGACGCAACAGCGGCACCAGCCAAGGAUACCAAAUCAGCCUGCUGAGCAAAACAAUUGUGAACUGAGUGAUUGUGAUUGGCACGCUGUGAGAUUAAACGGGUCUUUGCAAGGACCCUUGGAUUACCUUGCGAGGCCCACUACACAAAAAAAAAGAAACAGAAGCGCCCAACUAAACAGUAAACAGUCAAGAGUAGAGAGUGAUGGAUAAAGAGUGAAGAGCAAAGAGAGGCUCCCCCAAAAUCAGAAACAGAAACAGAAAACAGGCUUGCAGCCGAACUCAUUGGGAGAGCAAAGAAAAGGCGAGAACCGAAAAAAAACCGCAGCCAAGUACACAAAAUUGAAGGCAGAGCGAUAAAAGGAAGGAGAAUAACAAGAAGUAACAGGAAACAGCAGGAAGACAGAAGAAAGACAGCGGAACGCGUCGCGCUGAGUGCUAAAAGCAGCAGAGCAUUUUGCCUGUUGUAUUCUAUGCCUUAAUUUUUACAUAUAUAUUUUUAUUUGUAUCUUUGAAUUUGUGUGCCAACAAAGAAAAAG
rnacentral:sRNA from 1 species